CAUCGAUGAAGAACGNAGCGAAAUGCGAUACUUGGUGUGAAUUGCANAAUCCCGUGAACCAUCNAGUCUUUGAACGCAAGUUGCGCCCGAAGCCGUCAGGCCGAGGGCACGUCUGCCUGGGCGUCACGC
rnacentral:rRNA from 1 species